rnacentral:rRNA from 1 species
GACGAACGCUGGCGGCGUGCUUAACACAUGCAAGUCGAACGGUAAGGCCCUUCGGGGUACACGAGUGGCGAACGGGUGAGUAACACGUGGGUGAUCUGCCCUGCAGUUCGGGAUAAGCCUGGGAAACUGGGUCUAAUACCGGUUUGGACCACUGCCGGCAUGGGUGGUGGUGGAAAGCUUUUGCGGUGUGGGAUGGGCCCGCGGCCUAUCAGCUUGUUGGUGGGGUGAUGGCCUACCAAGGCGACGACGGGGAGCCGGCAUGAGAGGGUGACCGGCAACGCUGGGACUGGGAUACGGCCCAGACUCCUACGGGAGGCAGCAGUGGGGAAUAUUGGACAAUGGGCGCAAGCCUGAUGCAGCGACGCCGCGUGAGGGAUGACGGCCUUCGGGUUGUAAACCUCUUUCAGCACCGACGAAGCGCAAGUGACGGUAGGUGCAGAAGAAGGACCGGCCAACUACGUGCCAGCCGCCGCCGUAA